UGGUGUAUCGCCAAAUAUCAGGUAAGGCAUUAACUUUUGAUGUUAUCAUUUAAAGGUUCAAAUCCUUUUACACCAG
rnacentral:tRNA from 1 species